rnacentral:rRNA from 1 species
GAUGAACGCUGGCGGCGUGCCUAAUACAUGCAAGUCGAGCGAAUGGAUUAAGAGCUUGCUCUUAUGAAGUUAGCGGCGGACGGGUGAGUAACACGUGGGUAACCUGCCCAUAAGACUGGGAUAACUCCGGGAAACCGGGGCUAAUACCGGAUAACAUUUUGAACCGCAUGGUUCGAAAUUGAAAGGCGGCUUCGGCUGUCACUUAUGGACGGACCCGCGUCGCAUUAGCUAGUUGGUGAGGUAACGGCUCACCAAGGCGACGAUGCGUAGCCGACCUGGGAGGGUGAUCGACCACACUGGGACUGAAACACGGCCCAGACUCCUACGGGAGGCAGCAGUAGGGAAUCUUCCGCAAUGGACGAAAGUCUGACGGAGCAACGCCGCGUGAGUGAUGAAGGCUUUCGGGUCGUAAAACUCUGUUGUUAGGGAAGAACAAGUGCUAGUUGAAUAAGCUGGCACCUUGACGGUACCUAACCAGAAAGCCACGGCUAACUACGUGCCAGCCGCCGCGGUAA